rnacentral:ncRNA from 1 species
UGAGCCGUAUGCGGGGAAACUCGCACGUACGGUUCUUAGGGGGGAGGAGACUGGUAACAGUCCCCUCCUACCC